UAUUCUUGCUUCGUCAUUCAGUUUUUGUUUGUUCUAUAUGUAAGUUUGUGCGUGAUUAGUUUGCUUGAGGCUCUAGAUGGGUUGGAAGCAGGGUGAGAUAUAUAAUUGUUUAUUGUUAAUUCUCAUUAGUUAUUAUUGGUUGAUCAAGUAUUCUUGUAUUCAGCAAUACAUUUUGGUUUCGGUUAAAUUUUGUGCCAGCAGCCGCGGUUAUACCUUGGAAGCGUUUGAAUGUGUUCGGUAUUAGGUAGUUAUUUGUUAGUUUGGGUUAAAGAUUGUUUUUCGGUAAUUGUUAGGUGAAAUUUUUAUUAUUAUAUUUUUCUUUUAUCUGUUUUGAGGCUAUGAAAUUCUUUUUAUAAACUAGGAUUAGAUACCCUAUUAUUUUAGAAUGUUAAUUUGUUUUGGUGCCUGAGUAGUAUUAGUUAUGUUCUUGAAACUUAAAGAAUUUGGCGGUAUCUCAUUCCGUCCAGAGGAAUCUGUCUCGUUAUCGAUAGUCCGCGUUGGACCUUACUUGGGUUGCUUUAAUGGUUUGUAUACCGCCGUUUAUUUGAUUAUCUUUUUAGAGUUGUUUAAUUUUCUAGUUUCCUUAUUUUGGUUUAAUUUCAGGUCAAGGUGCAGCUUGUUUCUAAGUGAAUGGUGGAUUACAUUGAUUAUUUGUUUUUGGAUUGCUUGAUUAAACUUGAGCAUGAAAUUGGAUUUGGUUGUAAUGAUUUGAAGAUUGUUAUUAUGAUAAUUGGUUCUGGGAUAUGCACACAUCGCCCGUCGCUCUCGUUGCAUUAUAAAUGAGAUAAGUCGUAACAAAGUGGUUGUACCGGAAGGUGCGACUGGAUUGAG
rnacentral:ncRNA from 1 species